GUCGGCCGGGGCGACGUUGGCCGCCGCCCACGCCUGGCCGGUGGGCAGCUUGCGCGGCAGGGCGUUCAGGACCGCCCCGGCCGGCGC
rnacentral:tRNA from 1 species